rnacentral:rRNA from 1 species
UACGUAGGUGGCAAGCGUUGUCCGGAAUUAUUGGGCGUAAAGCGCGCGCAGGCGGUCCUUUAAGUCUGAUGUGAAAGCCCACGGCUCAACCGUGGAGGGUCAUUGGAAACUGGGGGACUUGAGUGCAGAAGAGGAGAGUGGAAUUCCACGUGUAGCGGUGAAAUGCGUAGAGAUGUGGAGGAACACCAGUGGCGAAGGCGGGUAGCUGGGCCGACACUGACGCUGAGGCGCGAAAGCUAGGGGAGCGAACGGG